rnacentral:lncRNA from 1 species
CUGUUAAGACAGUGGUGACAAUUUCUCAGUAAGAAAUCAGGCUUGAGAAAUGUCAAGCCUAAUUUUUCAUCUAAAAGUGACUGUCAGACAAUGCCAAACAUCUUGGUGUCUUUGUAUUCCAUUGAAGGAGACAGGAGGCAUUUGUAUUCAGUAAUGCAACGCUGAGUGAGUCAAAAUUCUGCCUUGUGAUCGUGUGAUUUAUUGUUAAUAUUGCCCAAGAUACGGAGGGGCUUCUCUGCCUUCAUCCGGCAUCCAUUUCCCAGUUGUAAUUAAUCUUUAUUACAUUGCAUAGCUCACCUCUGGUUUGGAAUGUUAAAGAGAUGCCUCAGAAUAGAGUCUGGAAUCAGUUUCUUCUCCAAGUUUCACCCU